GAUGAACGCUGGCGGCGUGCCUAAUACAUGCAAGUCGAGCGAACAGAUGAGAAGCUUGCUUCUCUGAUGUUAGCGGCGGACGGCUGAGUAACACGUGGGUAACCUACCUAUAAGACUGGGAUAACUCCGGGAAACCGGGGCUAAUACCGGAUAAUAUUUUGAACCGCAUGGUUCAAUAGUGAAAGACGGUUUCGGCUGUCACUUAUAGAUGGACCCGCGCCGUAUUAGCUAGUUGGUAAGGUAACGGCUUACCAAGGCGACGAUACGUAGCCGACCUGAGAGGGUGAUCGGCCACACUGGAACUGAGACACGGUCCAGACUCCUACGGGAGGCAGCAGUAGGGAAUCUUCCGCAAUGGGCGAAAGCCUGACGGAGCAACGCCGCGUGAGUGAUGAAGGUCUUCGGAUUGUAAAACUCUGUUGUUAGGGAAGAACAAAUUUGUUAGUAACUGAACAAGUCUUGACGGUACCUAACCAGAAAGCCACGGCUAACUACGUGCCAGCCGCCGCAGUAA
rnacentral:rRNA from 1 species